UACAGAGGAUGCAAGCGUUAUCCGGAAUGAUUGGGCGUAAAGCGUCUGUAGGUGGCUUUUUAAGUCCGCCGUCAAAUCCCAGGGCUCAACUCUGGACAGGCGGUGGAAACUACCAAGCUGGAGUACGGUAGGGGCAGAGGGAAUUUCCGGUGGAGCGGUGAAAUGCGUAGAGAUCGGAAAGAACACCAACGGCGAAAGCGGCUCACUGGACCGCAACUGACGCUGAGGCGCGAAAGCUAGGGGAGCAAACAGG
rnacentral:rRNA from 1 species